rnacentral:lncRNA from 1 species
GAGAACAUCAGGAGAUCUCAGCACACAGAAUCAAGUCUUUCAAAAGAGUAGUGUACCUAGGAAGUUUAUCAGUCUUUCAUGAAUCAACAUUAAGCAGAUUUCCUCUUUGAAUUCUCAUUGAUGAUGAAGGAUAACCUUCAUUUAGUAAUCAGGAAAGGUGAGAGUUUGUCCUAGAGAGCUGCACUUUUUUAUAAGUGCCUUAAAAUGUUACUAUUUAUUUAUUUACUACACUUAUAUAUUUAUUUAUGAGGGGCCUGUGUUUGGUGCCAUAUGUAUAUAUAAGUUGGAGGAGAAUUUGGGGGAGUUGGUUCUCUCUUUUCACCAUAUGGGUCUGAGGGAUUGAACACAUGCUAUGAACCUGUGUAACAAUGAACUUUACCUGCUGAAAUAUCUUGUUGACCCUAAAGUAUGUUUUAAUAAUAGAUUUUGGGGGGUAGAGCCAUCUACUCAUUCUAUCAUUCUCUAUAUUACAGGAUGGCAUAAUUAAAUGAUGUCUUAGUACCAUGGAUUUCUGUGUCUCCUUUGACAAGAAGCUAAGUCCUUUUGUGUCCCUAUUGACUUUCUCCUUUUGUAAAAAUCCCAUGAUUGGAAAAUGUCUCAGGGCUGUUCUACACAAG